AGAGAAGGGAAGGUGCUGGUUGGAGGACAGCAGAGCAAAAGUGUGACAUUUCAGGGUGGGCUUGUGCCUUGGUGUUGUCAGUCAUGACAAAGCUCACACCUAGGGGGAUAUCAGGGGAUCCUCCGAGUUCUUCCUCCAGCCCCUUGUUGUCUACAGGAGUUUGUAAGAAUGUGGGGCCCUCAUCACUGAUGGGGUUCACUUUGUAUAUACAAGCUGGGGAAAGGUGCAGAGAGAAUCCCAUCAAGGGGUGCCUCUGGCUCAGACCAUCUGUUACACUGAGAUGUGGGGGCAAGUUGGCUCUGCUUACACCCCAGAAAUGGGGGGGGGUCAAAGUACAAAUGUCCUAGCAGAGCUGUCAGCAGGCUCAACUAAUGGAGAUGGAAGGGAACGAUACAAGAGAAUGCUCAUGUCUUUUCUCCAAGUUGAUUGAGAACAGCCUUCGGAGGCUGAGGCAGGAGAAUGGCAUGAACCCAGGAGGCAGAGCUUGCAGUGAGCCGAGAUCGCGCCACUGCACGCUGGCCUGGGCGAAAAGAGCGAGACUAUGUCUCAAAAAAAAAGAACAGCCUUCCCAGGUUCUCCUUAGGCAUCCACGAUGACAAGUAACAGGCCUGAGAUUCCACUUGGUUGCCGGCCAUGGUUAUAACCAGAAGGCUGAUUCUUGCUGCUCAGGAGCCACACCCCACUUCACGGAGGAUCCUUCCUUGGGGCUGGGGGCAGGACUCUGGAUACCCUAAGGGUUUUCUAAGACAAAGAGGAAUCUGCCAGGACAACAGGCAGCACCCUAGGGUGGCUUAAUGGCAGUGGACUAUGGAGGAGCCAGGGUCCUAACAUGAGACUGUGGUCUCUGGCAGCCCCAUAGCCAUCUCUCCUGGCUUGGCACCAUGGGAUCUAAACUGGGAGAGCAUGGAGAUUCAUCUAGAAUAAAAGCAGAAUGUUUCCCAAACAAUGCAAGAGUCCAAACAACAAAUCUCUCUUUGUAUGAGACAAAUCACUCAUGUUGCUGAGUAAAACAGGGACCACUUGCACAACAAAACUGCAUGCAUUCCAAGCUGGAAAUCUGGUUUUCAGGAUUAUAGCUGAAUUUAAGAGGAGAAAUAAAACUAAUGGAGUAUAAGACAGAUGGAAAUAUUUUACCCAGACACUCUCUUCUUAAAGGUACUCAGAAAGCCCUGAAGGCACCUUCUCCGAAUACUGGCCACACCAAAUUCUGCUCAGCUCCCGGGACUGACAGCAUUGGGACUGACUGCAAUUUCACUGCAAGACUGCACCUGCCUCUGCUGUUGUUUCCAGUGGAGACCCAGAGAGGGCUGGAAUCAGGUUUCUCACAGAAGACAAGAGAUAAUGACCAAAAACAAACUGGUGUCACCCUAGGAGUGCCUGGUGAUUAAGGUACUCAGUGAGGUCAGGAGGCUUCCCACGUAAUGGAACUUCCCAGCAACUCUUAGUCAAUUCAAGCCAACACAGGGGAGGAAGCCCUGUUGUUUCUGUGAAAGGAUUGAUGUCCCUUUGAUUACAAUAUUAGACUAUGAACUCUUUAGGGGCGUGGACCGAGUUUUGUUCCUGUCUGUGUCCCCUGAACCUAACCCAGGUCCUGGCCCAAGUACACACUUGGCAAGUGUUGAAUGAAUAAAUGAAUGAAUGUUAAUGAAUGAACGAAUGAAUAUCUUGGAAGCUGAGCCCCACGAGUUAGGUACAAGAUGCCCAUUAUGCUGCCUAGAAACUCAUAGUUGAACUCAUAAAUUCAUAGUUGAAGUUGGUCUACAUUUUGAACAAACAGACAAGAGCCUAGCAUAACAAAUGUUCUGUGAACAUUAUAUCUAAGUGUGGCCAAUGGAAGCUAUUUUGCAAAUACAAUGUUUCUUGAGACGUUAUGUGGGAUCUGAAGAAAGAAGUGAAAUGGGUCUAAUAAAUGUGCUGUAAGAAAUACAUGCUAUUCAAGGAGUGAUGUGUUAAAAACAGUGACAGGAUGGAUAUUCCAUUCUCCAUGAUGUGCUUAUUUCACACUGCAUGCCUGUAUCAAAACAUCUCAUGUACCUGAUAAAUAUACACACAUACUAUGUACCCACACACACACACAAAACUUAACAAAAAACAGAGAUUGGCUGUCUGAUUCCUUUCUAUUGCCCCAUUUCACUUUCCAGGCUGAACAAGCAUGAUGCCUGCGGGUCAAGGCGAGAUCUCUCAUAGAUUCCUUCCUGUGGCUGCAAAUUGAAGUUCGAUUCUGUUUGAAGUAAGAAGAGAAGUAAGACGCCACCAUCCGCUGGAUGCUUCAUGGAGUUACCAAUAUCCCCAUAUCCAUGAGCUCUGCUGAAUGCUUAAAGAAACUUUGGCCUUUUACCCCUGCAGGUACUUCUCAUGCACAGUCCUGUCCUACCCUCCUGCCUGUUCCUGGGGAUCACAGGACAAGCCUGCAUUCCUCUACAGAGGUCUGGAUGGGAUCCAUUAGGUCACGGGGCACCGCAUGGGGCUCAUGUGGCAAUGCUGCCAGGAUGACUUAGCAGCCUCAGGGCCACUGGCAGGUUUCUGGACUGAUGGAUAAUUCUAUUCCCCAACUGUCACAACCUCCAAGCCUCAACUUGUCCCUGUGGCAGCUUGCUGCAUCUGUGGCUAAUGC
rnacentral:lncRNA from 1 species